rnacentral:tRNA from 1 species
GGCAGAUAGUGCAAUGAAUUUAAGCUUCAUAUAUAAAGCUUUUGCUUUUUUUAGAA